rnacentral:rRNA from 1 species
UACGCGAUGGUCGUCAGCGUAGGGUUAGUCGGGUCCUAAGCCGAGUCCGAAAGGGGUAGGUGAUGGCAAAUUGGUUAAUAUUCCAAUACCGACUAUGGAGCGUGAUGGGGGGACGCAUAGGGUUAAGCGAGCUAGCUGAUGGAAGUGCUAGUCUAAGGGCGUAGAUUGGAGGGAAGGCAAAUCCACCUCUGUAUUUGAAACCCAAACAGGCUCUUUGAGUCCUUUUAGGACAAAGGGAGAAUCGCUGAUACCGUCGUGCCAAGAAAAGCCUCUAAGUAUAUCCAUAGUCGUCCGUACCGCAAACCGACACAGGUAGAUGAGAUGAGUAUUCUAAGGCGCGUGAAAGAACUCUGGUUAAGGAACUCUGCAAACUAGCACCGUAAGUUCGCGAUAAGGUGUGCCGCAGCAAUGCGGUCUCAGAAAAGAGACCCUCCCGACUGUUUACCAAAAACACAGCACUUUGCCAACUCGUAAGAGGAAGUAUAAGGUGUGACGCCUGCCCGGUGCUCGAAGGUUAAGAGGAUGCGUCAGUCGCAAGAUGAAGCG